rnacentral:rRNA from 1 species
UCCGGAGGGGGCGAUCGUUGUUCGGAAUCAUUGGGCGUAAAGCGCGUGUAGGCGGCUUGGUAAGUCGGGUGUGAAAGCCCGGGGCCCAACCCCGGAACUGCAUUCGAAACUGCCUCGCUAGAGUCCCGGAGAGGAAGGCGGAAUUCCCGGUGUAGAGGUGAAAUUCGUAGAUAUCGGGAGGAACACCAGCGGCGAAGGCGGCCUUCUGGACGGUGACUGACGCUCAGACGCGAAAGCGUGGGGAGCAAACAGG